CGACCCCAAGUCAGUCAAGA
rnacentral:rRNA from 1 species